rnacentral:tRNA from 1 species
GGGCCCCUGCCUCAUAAUACCCCUUUAAACGUUAGACACCCAAGGGUCUCAUAAUUCCUUGGUUCUGGGUUCAAAUCCCGGUGGGCCCACCA